GACGAACGCUGGCGGCGUGCUUAACACAUGCAAGUCGAACGGUGAAGCGCCUUCCUUUUUGGUGGGUGUGGAUGAGUGGCGAACGGGUGAGUAACACGUGAGUAACCUGCCCCCUUCUUCUGGAUAACCGCAUGAAAGUGUGGCUAAUACGGGAUAUUCUGGGUCUGUCGCAUGAUGGGUCUGGGAAAGAUAUUGUUUCGGUGGGGGAUGGGCUCGCGGCCUAUCAGCUUGUUGGUGGGGUGAUGGCCUACCAAGGCGGUGACGGGUAGCCGGCCUGAGAGGGUGGACGGUCACACUGGGACUGAGACACAGCCCAGACUCCUACGGGAGGCAGCAGGGGGGAAUAUUGCACAAGGGGCGCAAGCCUGAUGCAGCGACGCCGCGUGAGGGAUGGAGGCCUUCGGGUUGUGAACCUCUUUCGCCAGUGAAGCAGGCCUGCCUCGUUUGUGGGUGGGUUGACGGUAGCUGGAUAAGAAGCGCCGGCUAACUACGUG
rnacentral:rRNA from 1 species